AGCUCCAAUAGCGUAUAUUAAAGUUGUUGCGGUUAAAAGCUCGUAGUUGGAUUUCUGCCAAUGACAACCGGUCCGCUUUUCGAGCGUGUAUCUGGUGCGGCUUUGGCAUCCUUGUGAAUGGCGUUGUUGUGCUUGAUUGCACGAUGCGUUUUUCACAACUUUUACUUUGAGGAAAAUAGAGUGUUCACGGCAGGCAAGCGCCUUGAAUAUAUUAGCAUGGAAUAAUAACAUAAGACUUCGGUUUUAUUUGUUGGCUUCUAGAGCUGAAGUAAUGAUUAAUAGGGAUAAUUGGGGGCAUUUGUAUUAUCGCGUCAGAGGUGGAAUUCUUGGAUUGCGCUACGACAAACUACUGCGAAAGCAUUUGCCAAGGAUGUUUUCA
rnacentral:rRNA from 1 species